ACUAGUUGUUGGGGUGCUAGUCAUCUCAGUAAUGCAGCUAACGCAUUAAGUGUACCGCCUGGGGAGUACGGUCGCAAGAUUAAAACUCAAAGGAAUAGACGGGGACCCGCACAAGCGGUGGAGCAUGUGGUUUAAUUCGAAGAUACGCGAAGAACCUUACCUGGGCUUGAUAUCCUAAGAACCUUUUAGAGAUAAGAGGGUGCUAGCUUGCUAGAACUUAGAGACAGGUGCUGCACGGCUGUCGUCAGCUCGUGUCGUGAGAUGUUGGGUUAAGUCCCGCAACGAGCGCAACCCACGUAUUUAGUUGCUAACGGUUCGGCCGAGCACUCUAAAUAGACUGCCUUCGUAAGGAGGAGGAAGGUGUGGACGACGUCAAGUCAUCAUGGCCCUUAUGCCCAGGGCGACACACGUGCUACAAUGGCAUAUACAAUGAGACGCAAUACCGCGAGGUGGAGCAAAUCUAUAAAAUAUGUCCCAGUUCGGAUUGUUCUCUGCAACUCGAGAGCAUGAAGCCGGAAUCGCUAGUAAUCGUAGAUCAGCCAUGCUACGGUGAAUACGUUCCCGGGUCUUGUACUCACCGCCCGUCACACCAUGGGAGUUGAUUUCACUCGAAGCCGGAAUACUAAACUAGUUACCGUCCACAGUGGAAUCAGCGACUGGGGUGAAGUCGUAACAAGGUAACCGUAGGAGAACCUGCGGUUGGAUCACCUCCUUUCUA
rnacentral:rRNA from 1 species